GAAUAGAGGAUCGGCAGAGGUGCCCAUGGAUUGUCCAAUGGGCUUAAAAGGGAAGUCCGGUGAGAAUCCGGCACGGUCCCGCCACUGUAUUUGGGGAGAGACCCAUCAUGAAACCACUGGGUUAUUCACCUGGGAAGGGAGAUGGGGAUCGAUGAACCAUAAGUCAGGAGACCUGCCUCUGCUGCACUGGUCAA
rnacentral:ncRNA from 2 species